GGAGAGGUGGCGGAAUUGGNUAGUGACAUUACUGUCGUGGGAGUUCGAGUCUCCUUCUCUUCA
rnacentral:tRNA from 1 species